rnacentral:rRNA from 1 species
AUUGAACGCUGGCGGCAUGCUUUACACAUGCAAGUCGAACGGCAGCGCGGGCUUCGGCCUGGCGGCGAGUGGCGAACGGGUGAGUAAUACAUCGGAACGUGCCCAGUAGUGGGGGAUAGCUCGGCGAAAGCCGGAUUAAUACCGCAUACGGCCUGAGGGUGAAAGCGGGGGAUCUUCGGACCUCGCGCUAUUGGAGCGGCCGAUGGCAGAUUAGCUAGUUGGUGGGGUAAAGGCCUACCAAGGCGACGAUCUGUAGCUGGUCUGAGAGGACGACCAGCCACACUGGGACUGAGACACGGCCCAGACUCCUACGGGAGGCAGCAGUGGGGAAUUUUGGACAAUGGGCGAAAGCCUGAUCCAGCAAUGCCGCGUGUGUGAUGAAGGCCUUCGGGUUGUAAAGCACUUUUGGCGGGAACGAAAAGGACUGUGCCAAUACCACGGUUCGAUGACGGUACCCGCAGAAUAAGCACCGGCUAACUACGU